rnacentral:rRNA from 1 species
CCUACGGGAGACAGCAGUAGGGAAUCUUUCACAAUGGGCGAAAGCCUGAUGGAGCAACGCCGCGUGCAGGAUGAAGGCCUUCGGGUUGUAAACUGCUUUUAUAAGCGAGCAAUAUGAUGGUAACUUAUGAAUAAGGAUCGGCUAACUACGUGCCAGCAGCCGCGGUCAUACGUAGGAUCCGAGCAUUAUCCGGAGUGACUGGGUGUAAAGAGUUGCGUAGGUGGCAUCAUAAGUAGCUAGGGAAAUCUGGUGGCUCAACCAUUCAGACUAUUAGCUAAACUGUUAAGCUCGAGACCGUUAGGGGUAACUGGAAUGUCUAGUGUAGGAGUGAAAUCCGUAGAUAUUAGAAGGAACACCAAUAGCGUAGGCAGGUUGCUGGGACGGUUCUGACACUAAGGCACGAAAGCGUAGGGAGCAAACGGGAUUAGAUACCCUAGUAGUC